rnacentral:lncRNA from 1 species
UGCAGGUGAUCGUAAAUCAAAGCUAAAAUGCGCAUUGAGUCCAAAAGAUGCAUCACCGCAGGUGACCAGCCAACCGCAUGGUUUAACCCCAGUUGCACACUAGAAGGAGGCUAAGUUCAGCCAUCCAGUUCAUUGCAACCAAUUUCCAGCAGCCUGUGCAUCUCAUCUCGAUGGAGCCCUCGUGCAGCCCAUCCUCUUCUCUAGCGAGUGAUCCACAGCAUCCAAGGCCAUGCUAUCAGCUCC